UACGUAGGGGGCAAGCGUUGUCCGGAUCUAUUGGGCGUAAAGAGCGUGUAGGCGGCCAGGUAGGUCUGCUGUGAAAACUCGAGGCUUAACCUCGAGCUGUCGGCGGAAACCAUCUGGCUAGAGUCCGGAAGAGGAGAAUGGAAUUCCCGGUGUAGCGGUGAAAUGCGCAGAUAUCGGGAAGAACACCCGUGGCGAAGGCGGUUCUCUGGGACGGUACUGACGCUGAGACGCGAAAGCGUGGGGAGCGAACAGG
rnacentral:rRNA from 1 species